GCUUACAGCCAUACCACCCUGAGCACGCCCGAGCUUGUCUGAUCUUGGAGGCUAAGCAGGGUCGGGCCUGGUUAGCAUUUAGAUGGAAGACCGCCUGGGAAUUUCAGGUGCUGUAAAGU
ensembl:rRNA 5S_rRNA 5S ribosomal RNA